GGAGGGUGAGUUGAUGAAGGUGAAUGGGUUUGUAAUGUUGAAGACGGCAAACAGCGAGGGUGGUUUUUCGAUUUGGUGGGCAUGAUUUUCAAUGGAAACGCAGACGGAAAUGGAAGUCGAUGGUUUGCGUUCACCAGUGAUGGAGGAGGACAGUGUGAUGUGGUGGCUUCGUCGAUGAUUGGGUUUGUUGUUGAAGGGAGAGAGGUCUCCGGUGGUGGAUUU
rnacentral:lncRNA from 1 species